CGGAAGUGGCGGUAACGCCCGGCCCUGCCCCCAGCAGAGGCGGAAGCGGUGUCGCUCUGAGGGGUCGCCAGUCGCCGCAGGCGCUUCAGCCCAGCGGCGGGCCUUGGCCCUUGGCUGCCUACUCCUACCGCCCCAGCCCCGGGCGGCCCUGGGCCUGCUGCGGGCGCGGCGCUGCCCGACCAGAGCUUCCUGUGGAACGUCUUCCAGAGGGUCGAUAAAGACAGGAGUGGAGUGAUAUCAGACACCGAGCUUCAGCAAGCUCUCUCCAACGGAUGAAGCCCCACCCGCCCUUCAGGAUGCCAGCCUUGGCAACAUCGUGAGACCCUGUUUCUACAAAAACUAAACAAGUGUAGUGGUGCACGCCUGUAUUCCCAGCUACUUGGGAGGCUGAGAUGGGAAGAUCACUUGAGCCUGGGAGGUUGAGGCUGCAUUGAGCUGAGAUCAAGCCACGGCACUCCAGCCUGGGAGACAGAGCGAAACCCCAUCUCAAAAAAACAAAGAAAGUGGAUGCGUGCUGCUCCUGCCAUUGGAUCAUCGCAGCAUUUUUCUUUUCUCUGAUAUGCGCCUUUUUCCUCAUCGUGGGGGCUCAUGUUUUCGUAAUUCCCUCUCGCUACUAGAUUGUGAGCUGUGUGAAGGAAGGUUCAUAGUUGAGUUGUAUGUACAGGCACACAAAAUUUGUCCUUGGAUAGACACAUAUCAAUCCACUUCCUUCUCCUCUCUGAAUUUCUUUAUUUAAAAAAAAAAGUAGAGAUGGAGUCUCACUGUCUUGCCCAGGCUGGUGUCAAACUCCUAGGCUCAAGUGAUCCUCCCACCUCUACUAAUAUGAAUUAUUAGGCUAUGCUAAUAUGAAUUUGUAUACUAAUAUGAUUGAAAUUAGUUUGACUUCUAUAAUAAUUGUUCUCCCAGAUUGGGCUUCUGUUUUGAUAGUAGAACUAAAUUAUUAGGCUAUUUCAAGAAAUUAAUAUAUUACUGGUAGAAAAACUGAAGCUACAAAAUGGCCUGGUUUCUCACUUCAGUUAAAUUUGUGCUUCUGAGUGCUUGUAUUCUAGGUGAAACCGCACUGAGAAGGUAUUUGUGGCCUAUACGCUGAUUCAUUGAUUAGACUUCUUUGCACAGGAGAGCUGCUAAAAAUUACUGCGGUGAACAGAUGGAGGCCCAUUGAGGCUUCUCUGUCCUCCACGGGGAACAGCAUUGGCCUAAACCUGCAGACACCAUUGCAAAGGGAAUUCAGGCAAACCGGCUGGUGAAGAAUGAUUCCAGCGUGGGGACAGAGGCUGACAUUUCUUG
rnacentral:lncRNA from 10 species